rnacentral:rRNA from 1 species
AGAGGGUGCAAGCGUUAAUCGGAUUUACUGGGCGUAAAGGGUGCGUAGGUGGUUGUUUAAGUCAGAUGUGAAAGUCCUGGGGGCUCAACCUGGGAAGGUCAUUUGAAACUGAAUAACUCGAGUCGAGGAGAGGGGAGUGGAAUUUCCGGUGUAGCGGUGAAAUGCGUAGAUAUCGGAAAGAACACCAGUGGCGAAGGCGACUCCCUGGACUCAGACUGACACUGAGGCACGAAAGCGUGGUAGCGAACAGGAUUAGAUACCCUGGUAGUCCACGCCGUAAACGAUGAGUACUAGCUGUCGAGCAGCAUGACUGUUCGGUAGCGGAGCUAACGCAUUAAGUACUCCGCCUGGGGACUACGGCCGCAAGGCUA